UGUGUGAUAGAAUAUUUUGAUGUUUUAAUGUCCUACAUGAUUAGUUAAAUUUUAAAUGUAAAGGAAGUUUAUAAACUUUGAGUAAGUAUAUGAAAAUGAUAACAAAGAGUAACCUUGGGGGUUUAAUAUGUAAAAUUUGACAAAUUAUAUAAAAAAAGGGGAAAAGAAAACCCAGUGUUGGGUGUGGGGGUUGCGACGCAGGGAGAGCAGGAAGGGGGAGAACCCUUCUUCUCCAUCUUACCAAGAAAAUCUACAAAUUGAAGGCGAUUUUGGAUGAAUUUCGUUUGCAUGUGAACAAUUUCUCAAUCAUCUAAGAGUUCCUAACAUAGGGAACGUGUCAAGGAGAGCUCAAGCAUAGGAGGAUAACGGGUCAAGAUAAGGCAAGGUGACAAAUACACUUAUUGGAGUACUCAAGGUUAUGAAUGUCGGACUUUCGAAGUGUUGAUAUAAUAAUGAAACGGUUGAAUGUUGAAAGGAUAAUCGGAUUGAAGUAACUUAUGCGGGUAAGCGCAAUUGUUGGAAGAGAUGAUCCGUGAAUGCGGUCUAGGACCGACAUCGAGGCAAGUAAUGAAACAAAUUGACCCCAGGUACGUAAACCUAACGUAUGGGCGUAUGAAAUGGCAUGGUUAAGCAAGUGAAAGAAAAUUUUUGAACAAUUAUGAUAACGACAUGGUAAAUAAUUUUUAAAAAUGUAACACGUGCCGAAACUUAAUUCUUCGGGCAUAAUGUGGCGAUUACGCGAAGACACGAAACUAGUACGUGGAUUGUGUACCUGGCCAGUACACAAGAAACGUAUGACGUUCGUGAGACCGCGGUAAUUGUUACAGGUACGUCCGUUAGAAUUGGGUAGCAGGUGGGCGUAUGGGUGAAAUGAGUAGUAAGACUCUCGGGAGAUUGAGAGUACUUCGUACGAGUAAAAAGUGCAAAUGAUAAGAAUAAAAUGUUGAAUCCGUAAAAAGUACAGACCAACAAUGUAUGAAUGCCAUGCUUGAAUCCGCGAGACGGAUUCAAGGAAUGCAAGAUACGAAUGCCAUGCUUGAAUCCGCGAGGCGGAUUCAAGGAAUGAAAGAUACGAAUGCGAUGCUUGAAUCCGCGAGACGGAUUCAAGGAAUGAAAGAUACGAAUGCGAUGCUUGAAUCCGCGAGACGGAUUCAAGGAAUGAAAGAUACGAAUGCCAUGCUUGAAUCCGCGAGACGGAUUCAAGGAAUGAAAGAUACGAAUGCGAUGCUUGAAUCCGCGAGACGGGUUCAAGGAAUGAAAAGCAUGAAUGCAAUGUUCAAAUCCGCGAAGCGGACUUGAGGUAUAAAAAGGCGAAACUAGUCUACAUAAGUAGAAGUCGAUAGCUUGACCAUGUUAAGUAAAUGUAAAGCAAAUUAGCAAAAGAAUGAUAAGAAUGAAAAUAUUCGAAUGUGUAAGUAAUUACGGACCGAACAAGUAAAUAUUCCUUAAGUAAUAUGACCCAAAUUAUGUUUAAACUUAUAUAUAUAUAUAUACAUAAAUAUAUUUUUUUUGCAAAUGCGUUGUAUGCAAGAAUGGUAGAAGUAUUAAAUGGGACAUACGGGUCAGAUGGCGAUCGCCAUUUGAACUCGGUAGUUAAUGAUUUGAGUUGUUAAGUUUUAUACUCAUAGAUGAGCUUGAAAAAUAGAGACGCAAUGUCACUAAUCGGAAAUGAAUAAUCAUCGUAAGGCAUGGAUAACGAAUCAAUGGAAUUUACUUCCGUCAGGUAUGUUCAUAAUGAUUGUCGAGUGGUAUAGAACUUGAAUGCUCGUAACUGUGGAAAUUCUGAUAGAAUGUAAGAGACAGCAAGUAUCGUUAAGAAAUACUAACCUUGAUGCUCGACUUGUUGGCCAUGUUCAUUUGAACAAGACAUUGUAGAAAAGAUAAGCAUGACAUGGAUAACAAUAGUAACCAUGGAAAUAAUGCUUAGUUUUCGUGUUAAGUACGGAUAAGUAAGUUUAAGAAGGGUGAUUUUGGUUGUAACCGUAAGUCUUUCGAAUGAUUAUAAAUGCGUAUGAUAAAAUAUCGACCCCUCCUAUAAGCUUAAGGGUAAUCAGAAGUAAGGAUAGAAAUGGAAUGUUAAGGAAGGCUCAUAGUGAAUAAAAUGAAAGAUAGUAUAUGAUGUAUGAGUAAAAUAAAAUAAAUUGAUUUAUUUCAAGUAGUGAAUAUAUAUAUAUAUAUGUAAUAUGCUUAAAUAGGAUGUUAGAUACAAGCCAUAGACUUAGUCUGUAUGAUUAAUAACUGUAUACACUUGGAAUAAAUUCGAUGAAUGAAGCGCUAGUGAUGGUAUGUGCUAGGAGCUAGCAUUAUAAAGUGAAGACGACACUAAUAAGAGCUCUGGAUCAGAUUCUAACUUUAAUGCGAUUAUGAAAGUAAUUUACUUGAUUUAAGAACGGAGGGGCAAUGUGUACGAAGACGUUUAUGAAUGAAUGAGAUUCUUGCCAAGAUCUCGAAUGCAUCCCUGUGAUAGUAAGCAUUGUAAAUGAAGAAAUGAAAGAGUAGGAGUAGAAUUGGUCCAGUCGUAAUGAGAAAGGUUUCGGGGACGAAACCUCCUUUAAGGGGGGUAGACUUGUAACACCCCAAAACUUGUGUGAUAGAAUAUUUUGAUGUUUUAAUGUCCUACAUGAUUAGUUAAAUUUUAAAUGUAAAGGAAGUUUAUAAACUUUGAGUAAGUAUAUGAAAAUGAUAACAAAGAGUAACCUUGGGGGUUUAAUAUGUAAAAUUUGACAAAUUAUAUAAAAAAAAGGGGAAAAGAAAACCCAGUGUUGGGUGUGGGGGUUGCGACGCAGGGAGAGCAGGAAGGGGGAGAACCCUUCUUCUCCAUCUUACCAAGAAAAUCUACAAAUUGAAGGCGAUUUUGGAUGAAUUUCGUUUGCAUGUGAACAAUUUCUCAAUCAUCUAAGAGUUCCUAACAUAGGGAACGUGUCAAGGAGAGCUCAAGCAUAGGAGGAUAACGGGUCAAGAUAAGGCAAGGUGACAAAUACACUUAUUGGAGUACUCAAGUGCAGGUUAUGAAUGUCGGACUUUCGAAGUGUUGAUAUAAUAAUGAAACGGUUGAAUGUUGAAAGGAUAAUCGGAUUGAAGUAACUUAUGCGGUUAGAAUAUGCUAUGGACGUUUUAGUUUAUACAACAUUUUAUGUUUGGUCAUCAUCUACCAACGGGUAAAUCCUCAAUUCAGGCGACUUGGAGAAUCGGAGCGAGCGCGUGUUCAUGUUAUGUCAUACCAAACGCUUCCGCUAGCUUGUUCAAAUGUUUUUAGUCCAAAAUUUGUUUUUUGGUUCUUAGUAGUAUUUUGUCGAAUGAAUCGUAGAAUUGUAUCUAGUUUGUUUAUGUUUAAAACAGGGGUAUGCUCGUUUUAUGGACGGGUCAUGCCCAAUUUUUGUUAAAUUAAUGCACCUGCGUUAUUGAUAUUAUCAUUUAAAAUUCCGAAAAGUUGGACACUUUUAAGAAAAUUUUUAUAUUUCUAGUGUCCUUCAGUCGUCUUUUAUUAGACACAAACGCGGACGUAACAAGUUGGUAUCAGAGCCUAGGUUUGAGGGAUUCGAGCAAGAGUAAUAGUGCUUGAACUCAAACCGAAGGCUCGUGCAAAGGUGUGCUCGCUCCGAGGUCGUCAAUGAGGUAAAAUUUUAAGUAUUCGUUUAAUACGAGUAUGAUGUAAAUAUUUAAGCUAUAUAUAUGUAUAUAUAUACAGGAAGUAAAGUUGGAGGUUAAACGAGAAGUUCAGGGACCGUAUGGCUGGAACCGAACCGAAAAACGAUUAAUAAGCCCAAAACAAAGAAUGCAGCGAUUUUAGUAAACGUGAGGCCGUCGCCGACGGGUUGUUACCCGUCGCCGACGCCCCUUUUUGGGCCGACGCCCUAUCUAACUGCUUACGGGAACUCUGGCCGACGCCCUUUUUAAGAGCCCGUCGCCGACGGACAUCUUAGCCGUCGCCGACGGCUUACAUAAUUUCAGUCCGCUGAAAUUUCAAGUUUUCAUAAUUUUAACUAACCGUCCAUCCCGGAAGCCCGAUUCACGGAUUCCAUUGAGUUCUUAUGAGACUAAGUAAGCCGUGUAGGGAUAGAACAAAUUGAUAGUAAAUGGUUGUGCGUAAUGGUAUGAAACAAAAGACGAAUGUAUGAAGUGAAGCUCGAAAUGUAAGAAUGUGAAUAAGUAAUAUGGACUAAUGAACUAUGAUGUGUUGAAAGCUUAUGAUCCGUAUUAAAUGUAAACAUGACAUUGUGUAGAUGGCUGAUGCAAGCAACGUUAAUGAUGAUGAUGAUACUAAUGUGUUAAAUGUUUUGUGAAGGGUAAGCGCAAUUGUUGGAAGAGAUGAUCCGUGAAUGCGGUCUAGGACCGACAUCGAGGCAAGUAAUGAAACAAAUUGACCCCAGGUACGUAAACCUAACGUAUGGGCGUAUGAAAUGGCAUGGUUAAGCAAGUGAAAGAAAAUUUUUGAACAAUUAUGAUAACGACAUGGUAAAUAAUUUUUAAAAAUGUAACACGUGCCGAAACUUAAUUCUUCGGGCAUAAUGUGGCGAUUACGCGAAGACACGAAACUAGUACGUGGAUUGUGUACCUGGCCAGUACACAAGAAACGUAUGACGUUCGUGAGACCGCGGUAAUUGUUACAGGUACGUCCGUUAGAAUUGGGUAGCAGGUGGGCGUAUGGGUGAAAUGAGUAGUAAGACUCUCGGGAGAUUGAGAGUACUUCGUACGAGUAAAAAGUGCAAAUGAUAAGAAUAAAAUGUUGAAUCCGUAAAAAGUACAGACCAACAAUGUAUGAAUGCCAUGCUUGAAUCCGCGAGACGGAUUCAAGGAAUGCAAGAUACGAAUGCCAUGCUUGAAUCCGCGAGGCGGAUUCAAGGAAUGAAAGAUACGAAUGCGAUGCUUGAAUCCGCGAGACGGAUUCAAGGAAUGAAAGAUACGAAUGCGAUGCUUGAAUCCGCGAGACGGAUUCAAGGAAUGAAAGAUACGAAUGCCAUGCUUGAAUCCGCGAGACGGAUUCAAGGAAUGAAAGAUACGAAUGCGAUGCUUGAAUCCGCGAGACGGGUUCAAGGAAUGAAAAGCAUGAAUGCAAUGUUCAAAUCCGCGAAGCGGACUUGAGGUAUAAAAAAGGCGAAACUAGUCUACAUAAGUAGAAGUCGAUAGCUUGACCAUGUUAAGUAAAUGUAAAGCAAAUUAGCAAAAGAAUGAUAAGAAUGAAAAUAUUCGAAUGUGUAAGUAAUUACGGACCGAACAAGUAAAUAUUCCUUAAGUAAUAUGACCCAAAUUAUGUUUAAACUUAUAUAUAUAUAUAUACAUAAAUAUAUUUUUUUUGCAAAUGCGUUGUAUGCAAGAAUGGUAGAAGUAUUAAAUGGGACAUACGGGUCAGAUGGCGAUCGCCAUUUGAACUCGGUAGUUAAUGAUUUGAGUUGUUAAGUUUUAUACUCAUAGAUGAGCUUGAAAAAUAGAGACGCAAUGUCACUAAUCGGAAAUGAAUAAUCAUCGUAAGGCAUGGAUAACGAAUCAAUGGAAUUUACUUCCGUCAGGUAUGUUCAUAAUGAUUGUCGAGUGGUAUAGAACUUGAAUGCUCGUAACUGUGGAAAUUCUGAUAGAAUGUAAGAGACAGCAAGUAUCGUUAAGAAAUACUAACCUUGAUGCUCGACUUGUUGGCCAUGUUCAUUUGAACAAGACAUUGUAGAAAAGAUAAGCAUGACAUGGAUAACAAUAGUAACCAUGGAAAUAAUGCUUAGUUUUCGUGUUAAGUACGGAUAAGUAAGUUUAAGAAGGGUGAUUUUGGUUGUAACCGUAAGUCUUUCGAAUGAUUAUAAAUGCGUAUGAUAAAAUAUCGACCCCUCCUAUAAGCUUAAGGGUAAUCAGAAGUAAGGAUAGAAAUGGAAUGUUAAGGAAGGCUCAUAGUGAAUAAAAUGAAAGAUAGUAUAUGAUGUAUGAGUAAAAUAAAAUAAAUUGAUUUAUUUCAAGUAGUGAAUAUAUAUAUAUAUAUGUAAUAUGCUUAAAUAGGAUGUUAGAUACAAGCCAUAGACUUAGUCUGUAUGAUUAAUAACUGUAUACACUUGGAAUAAAUUCGAUGAAUGAAGCGCUAGUGAUGGUAUGUGCUAGGAGCUAGCAUUAUAAAGUGAAGACGACACUAAUAAGAGCUCUGGAUCAGAUUCUAACUUUAAUGCGAUUAUGAAAGUAAUUUACUUGAUUUAAGAACGGAGGGGCAAUGUGUACGAAGACGUUUAUGAAUGAAUGAGAUUCUUGCCAAGAUCUCGAAUGCAUCCCUGUGAUAGUAAGCAUUGUAAAUGAAGAAAUGAAAGAGUAGGAGUAGAAUUGGUCCAGUCGUAAUGAGAAAGGUUUCGGGGACGAAACCUCCUUUAAGGGGGGUAGACUUGUAACACCCCAAAACUUGUGUGAUAGAAUAUUUUGAUGUUUUAAUGUCCUACAUGAUUAGUUAAAUUUUAAAUGUAAAGGAAGUUUAUAAACUUUGAGUAAGUAUAUGAAAAUGAUAACAAAGAGUAACCUUGGGGGUUUAAUAUGUAAAAUUUGACAAAUUAUAUAAAAAAAAGGGGAAAAGAAAACCCAGUGUUGGGUGUGGGGGUUGCGACGCAGGGAGAGCAGGAAGGGGGAGAACCCUUCUUCUCCAUCUUACCAAGAAAAUCUACAAAUUGAAGGCGAUUUUGGAUGAAUUUCGUUUGCAUGUGAACAAUUUCUCAAUCAUCUAAGAGUUCCUAACAUAGGGAACGUGUCAAGGAGAGCUCAAGCAUAGGAGGAUAACGGGUCAAGAUAAGGCAAGGUGACAAAUACACUUAUUGGAGUACUCAAGGUUAUGAAUGUCGGACUUUCGAAGUGUUGAUAUAAUAAUGAAACGGUUGAAUGUUGAAAGGAUAAUCGGAUUGAAGUAACUUAUGCGGUUAGAAUAUGCUAUGGACGUUUUAGUUUAUACAACAUUUUAUGUUUGGUCAUCAUCUACCAACGGGUAAAUCCUCAAUUCAGGCGACUUGGAGAAUCGGAGCGAGCGCGUGUUCAUGUUAUGUCAUACCAAACGCUUCCGCUAGCUUGUUCAAAUGUUUUUAGUCCAAAAUUUGUUGUUUUGGUUCUUAGUAGUAUUUUGUCGAAUGAAUCGUAGAAUUGUAUCUAGUUUGUUUAUGUUUAAAACAGGGGUAUGCUCGUUUUAUGGACGGGUCAUGCCCAAUUUUUGUUAAAUUAAUGCACCUGCGUUAUUGAUAUUAUCAUUUAAAAUUCCGAAAA